AACUUUUAGGAAAUUUUUUAAAAUUAUUAGGUAGAAUUUUAAUUUUGAAAAAUAACAUAAAAUUUAAGCAUGAAAAUUAUAUUUAGGACCAGGAUUAGAUACCCUGUUACUUAUAAUAAAAGAAUUUUGGAAUAGUAAUAAAUAUGAAAUUUAACGGAUUUGGCGGCAAGAUAGCCAUUUAGAGGAACCUGCCCUGUAAACGAUGAACCACGAAUUUCUUUACUUUUAUUAGAAUUCAGUUUGUAUACCGCUGUUGUCAGUUAGUUUCUUUAGAAAACUUUCAUUCAUGAAAAAAUCACAGACUUCAAGUAAAGGUGCAGCUUAUAUAAAAGAUAGAGGUGGGUUACAUUUAUUAGAUUAAAACGGAUAAGAUAUUGAAAUUAUUUUUGAAGGUGGAUUUAAUUGUAAAGUUUAAUAAAACUUGAUGAGAGCUCUGUCUUGUG
rnacentral:rRNA from 1 species